rnacentral:rRNA from 1 species
UACAGAGGUCUCAAGCGUUGUUCGGAUUCAUUGGGCGUAAAGGGUGCGUAGGUGGCGCUGUAAGUCGGGUGUGAAAUUUCGGAGCUUAACUCCGAAACUGCAUUCGAUACUGCGGUGCUUGAGGACUGGAGAGGAGACUGGAAUUCAUGGUGUAGCAGUGAAAUGCGUAGAUAUCGUGAGGAAGACCAGUGGCGAAGGCGAUUCUCUGGGCAGUUCCUGACACUGAGGCACGAAGGCUAGGGGAGCAAACGGG